UUGAACGCUGGCGGCCGGCCUAACACAUGCAAGUCGCGCGGAUGAAGGGAGCUUGCUCCUGGAUUCAGCGGCGGACGGGUGAGUAAUGCCUAGGAAUCUGCCUGGUAGUGGGGGAUAACGUCCGGAAACGGGCGCUAAUACCGCAUACGUCCUGAGGGAGAAAGUGGGGGAUCUUCGGACCUCACGCUAUCAGAUGAGCCUAGGUCGGAUUAGCUAGUUGGUGGGGUAAAGGCCUACCAAGGCGACGAUCCGUAACUGGUCUGAGAGGAUGAUCAGUCACACUGGAACUGAGACACGGUCCAGACUCCUACGGGAGGCAGCAGUGGGGAAUAUUGGACAAAGGGCGGAAGCCUGAUCCAGCCAUGCCGCGUGUGUGAAGAAGGUCUUCGGAUUGUAAAACACUUUAAGUUGGGAGGAAGGGCAGUAAGUUAAUACCUUGCUGUUUUGACGUUACCAACAGAAUAAGCACCGGCUAACUUCGUG
rnacentral:rRNA from 1 species